rfam:Danio rerio chromosome 13 genomic contig CTG1270, GRCz11 reference primary assembly.
CCCGGCAGCUAGCUCUCUGCAACUCUCACAUGGUCGCCCACUGAAGCUAAGCAGGGCUGCUCCCGUUCAGUACCUGGAUGGGAGACCACAUGGGAAAACUAGGUUGCUGCUGGAA